ensembl:lncRNA
GUGGAGAUCCUCUAGAUUCGUCAAGCUGCCAUUCAGUUCAGUUUCUCUCACUCCUGCCCCAAUAGAAGACUCGCAACUCAUGGGCCUUGGCACUGCCCUCCGGCUCUCCAGGGGAAAAGCUGCAGUUCUGCUCUUGCAACACAAGGAGCAGACUGGAGAAUUUAGAUCUGCGUCACAGAGCUCUGAGAGAGAGAGAGAGAGAGGAGAGAGGAGAGAGAGAGAGCGAGCGCUCCGUGGAUAGGUCUGCUAGCAACAGCCGUGCUGCAGCAGAGAGAGAGAGAGAAAUCAAGAAACAAGUCAUAGCAACACCGGGCACCAGGUUCUGCCAGCUCACUUGCCAAGCGUUCAGAAAUCUGUCGGGGGCCGGAGGCCUCUGGGUGGCCUAGGCUAGGGAGGUGACACGCAAGGUGGCACGGGCGGCUCCGCGGGGAGGAGGUGGGGUGGCGGUGGGGGCAGGGUCGGGAGCAAGAGGUUUCGGGGCGAUGGCGGAAGGUUUGCUGGGACCAGUUUCUGGAACAUUCGGGACUGCGGCACCUUACGGCCGGCCGAGAUUUGGGUCUGCGCAGGCGACGAUGGGUGGUCCGACGGGCUUCAGGACUUGAUGGCGUAACCCCCUUUUUCCCCCACGUACCACAUCCAGCUCAUUGACGGUGGUUAUUUCAUUUAUUCCUCACUGCAACCCUGCAAGGAGUGGCUGCGGUGGCUGCCCGCUUCCUGACGCUAUCGCAUCCCGUGGGAGGGGAGUUGGACACCCUGAAGCCCCUCGUCACCAGUUCCGGGGCUGCAGAGCAGGGAGUGACGACAGCUCAUGAGUCGUCAGCCGACGGCAGCGGGGACCCUGGUGACGGCUGCUUUGUUGUUUUUUUCCUCUUCGGAUGAUGACUCAGUGUGUCGGGAGCCGGGAGAUGGAGCACUCACCGAGUGGCCAGGACGUUCUGUCAACAUGAAAACAGCAAAAACAGCUCGUCGGAGCUCAGAGCUGACCCUGGGCUGGGGUCAUUUUCAGGAAGGGCUUGGCAAAGAAAAGGCGACCGCCACGUAUUGGGUUGGCAGGGGUGAUACCGGGUAACUUAACAGGGCUCUGUAGACCCUUGAAUUUUAGAACCUGAAAAGAAAACGCAGCCGUUUGUGUUACUAGAUGAGCUUGGCAACCAGGAUGGCUUCUUGGGCUCCUCGCACUCGUCCCCGACAAAGAGACAUCUUUCCGGGUCCAGAAAACCCCCUUGGGGAUUUCUCAGUGUGGCUCAUUGCCUUGGAUGGAGGGCAAGUCUCUUUUUGUGGGGGAGCAAGGGUGGGGCCUGGCAGCCCUAGUGCCCGUUGUGGGGAUGUAGUGUCUUGGGGGUCUCCUCUGCCGGCAUCAUGCGAAGAUGGUGGCUCCCGCGUCACCGGCCUCAAGCCGAAGACCAGCUCUCUCGGGCAGCCAUUCUUCAGCCUUCCCUUUCCUCAUCCCAAAUUACAAGCUUUUCUUCUUCUUCACCAUCUUCCUCACUUCCUCCUCAGGUGCCAUGGCGGGCCUUGACCUCCGCGUCUGUGUGUGUGUGUGUGUGUGUGUGGUGUCAUCAUGGCGGCUCGGGGUUCUAGGCUUUUCUCCCGUCUGCAGCAAUGCGCUUUGUGCGCGUGACGCCCCCGUGGCCCCGCCCCGCCGACCAGGCCCCGCCCUGCCGCCAGGCCCCGCCCCGCCGCCAGGCCUGUCCCUGAGACCCAGCGAGGAGACAGGCCCUUCGUUCUUUCGCCGCAGAAUCUCGGCCAAACCACCAUCAUCCCCAGCAUCCGGCUUCCCUUCUCUCCUCCCGCUCUGUCGGCCAGCGUCUGGGGCAGAGGAGCAAACAACUUGUGGGAGGGGAUGAUGGAGGGACAGAUAGCCUGGCCGAGCUCUCUGGUCUCCUCAGCCCGGGUGCCAUUUUUCUCAGCCUCCCACGCUCCUGUGGACGAUGCCUGCUCUGACUUUUGUCGCCGCGCACCUCCUCUUCCCCUGAGGACCUCCCCGCGUGACUCGUUGGGAUCUGGGGUCUCGGGCGCCCAGAAGGAGCAGGGGGACCCGGCCCAGGUCACAGGGGAGAGCUGAAGAGACAGGCGAGGGGGUGGGAGCUGGCCGACCCCACCCAAGAGCAAAGGCAGCCCCAUCCCCACCCCCCACCCUUUUUUGCAGUCAUGUCUUUUCGAGCCUAAGCAGAGAGCAACUUGACCUGAAAAAAUUCGUGUCUCUAUGUGGGUGUUGGAACGUCUGCGGAUCUUUGUCCGGAAGCUGCGUGGUGCCCAGAGCCCAGGUUCUGUGCUUAAGGGAGCUGUUGUCCUUUGGGUUUUUGCAGCUGUUUUUGCAGCAGUGUGAUGGAUGGGUCCUCCUCAAGGACCCCUGUGCCCGCUGUGACUGGCCUUUCUCCAGGACGCUGGGCCCGGCGGUGGCCCUGCUUCGUGUUGGUGGACGGGGCGCCGCAGCGGAGGGCGGUGUCCCGGGGCUCAGAAGAGACCCCGAUGACUGGGGCCUGCGCGUGGUGCCUCACCUGGUGGUCCCUGGGAACUGAGCCCACCUUUCACUUCUUCCCCACAGAGAACUCAGGGGAGUUCAGCUCCAGAAGUAGGUGACAGCCUGCUGGAGACUCCGCUGCUGACGGUGCUGGCGUUCAGAAGACACUCGUCAUCCUUUGGGGUAAACGUGUUGCCUGUUUGCGUGUCUUAUUUGGAACACACAGAAAAAGGAGCUGCCUGGCAGCCUGGCUCUCCGCGGUAAGUAUCUGUCUGCAUUCUUUUAUCCCUUCGAAUGUCGAAAGUGGACGGACGCGGUGCUGAACUCAGCUGGCUCUUGUGCCUUCUUGGUUCUUUGCUGCACAGCCCCGCCCUUGGUCCUCCCGAAGCGGGCGCUGGAUCCGUUUCCCCAUGCUGCUGGAGAGCUGCAGAGAGCCUAGCAGUCAGUGUGCCGCCCCCGUGCAUCCCCCUCGGGUUCAGGAGAAGUCGAUUCUCCCUAAAAUGGAGCCAAGAAGCCGGGUCCCCCCAGAACUGAGUGUUCACGGGCUGAAUGGAAGGGCCCUGCCUGUGCUCACUGCCCCCAGCAGGGAGGUGACUCUCAGUUGCCUGGGUGGGGGAGUGGCGAGGGCGGGGAUGUGCCUUGCCAGCAUCUAGCAUGGUUCUCUGCCAAGUUCUAGCUCCAGAUCGCUAGGCCGCUAGGAACCUAGACUAUAUAUAGCGUUGUGCUAAGCAAUUCUUAUCGGACCUGUCUGUCCCGUCACCCCCACGGGGAGGAGAGCUUCUAUCAGAAAACCAGAACCUGGAGAGAGUAAGCCACCUCCAUGGGGCCUUUUAUUCUGGGAAGGG